UGCCUUUUUAAAUUUGAAAAUAAUUAAAACAAAUAAAGAGACAGCUCUGCUCAUUCCCACUGUCACAUUUUCCAAGCAAUCUGAAUCUGAUAAGUGAUAAUUUCUGCCGGUCUUUAAUGAGCUUUCCUUCUUCCCAAACAUAUGCUUCUCUGUCUCUACUGUACUUCGUUUUCCCCAGUUUUUCAAACAGAGUAAAGCAACAAAUUAUUUCUCUCUCACAGCUUCAGCCUUCACUUGCUCUACCUCUUUCUCUUCCUCUCUUACUUUUUCUUCUCUGAAGAAUAGAUCCAGCAAACAGUUCAAUACUUGCCGCCAACAUAUCUCCAAUGUCUUCCAUUAUCUCUCAGAUGGCCUCCUCUUCGUCAUCAUUUUCAUCUUCAACACCUCGGUGGAAAUAUGAUGUCUUUCUUAGUUUUAGAGGUGAGGACACCCGCACUAGUUUUACAGGCCAUCUAUAUGUUGCUUUGAAACAAAGGGGCAUAGUUACCUUUAGAGACGAGGAAAAUCUUGAGAUAGGAAAAUCUAUUUCACCAGAGCUCUUGAAAGCAAUAAAAGAAUCGAGAUUUGCAAUUGUCAUUCUCUCAAGAAACUUUGCGUCAUCAACAUGGUGCUUGGAUGAACUUACAAAGAUAAUUGGAUGCUUGAAAGAGACAACCACGACUGUUUUGCCAAUAUUUUAUGAUGUGAACCCAUCUGAUGUACGAAAACAAACAGGCACCUUUGCCCAAGCCUUUUUUAAACAUGAAGAACGUUUCAAGGACGAUAUAGAGAAAGUGCAAACAUGGAAAGCUGCUUUAGAAGAAGUGGCAAAUCUCAAAGGGUGGCACCUACAAGAUAGGUCUGAGGCACAACUUAUCCAAAAUAUUGUGGGGGAGUUAUGGCAAAAAUUGAGUAAUGAAUUCUUAGAAGAUACUGAAGACCUAGUAGGAAUAGAAUCUCAAGUGAAGGAAUUGGAGUCAUGUUUGGCUAUAGGGUCUGAUAAUGUUCGCAUUAUAGGGGUUUGGGGGAUGGGGGGAAUAGGUAAAACAACUCUUGCUAGAGUUGUUUUUCGUAGGGUUUCGAACAAGUUUGAAGGUUGUUGCUUUCUCCGUAAUGUCAGGGAGGUUUGUGAAAAAGAUGGUUUAAUUCCAUUGCAACAACAACUUAUUAGAAAAAUAUUAAAUGAAAGUAUGAGUAUACAAGAUGUUGAUGAGGGAGUUUUCAUGAUCAAGAAUAGAUUACGUCAUAAAAGAAUUCUUAUCGUUCUUGAUGAUAUAAAUCAAUUAGACCAGUUGAAAAAGUUAGUUGGGAAGCAUAAUUGGUUUGGUUUUGGUAGUAGAGUUAUCAUAACAACAAGGGACAAGCAUUUACUACGUAUACUUGAAGUAGAUGAAAUAUUUGAAGCUGAAGGAUUGAGUGAUGAUGAAGCUCUUCAUCUUUUGAGUUUAAAAGCUUUUAAAAAAGGCCAUCCUCCCAAAGAUUAUCUAGAGCUAUCCAAAGAUGUUGUACAAUAUACUAAAGGCCUUCCUUUAGCUAUUGAGAUUUUGGGUUCUUUUUUGUUUAGUAGAAGCAUCAAUCAAUGGAAAAGUACAUUAAUUCGGAUUAAAGAGUUUCCCGAACGUGCAAUUCUCCAAGCACUAAGAAUAAGUUAUGAUGGACUACAUGAAACAGAGAAAAAAAUAUUCCUAUAUAUUGCAUUUUUCUUUAAUCAUAAGGAAAAAAUUAGUGUAGUAGAGAAACUAGAUUAUUUUGGCCUUUACCCUGAUGUUGGAUUGGAGGUCCUAGUUGAUAAAUCUCUCAUAAAAAUAAAUUACCUUGAAGUGUGGAUGCAUGAUUUAUUACAAGACAUGGCCAAGAAAAUAAUUUAUGAAGAGUGCCCUGAAGAGCCUGGAAAGCGUAGCAUUUUGUGGUCAUUUGAAGACAUUAACAGUGUACUAACAAAAAAUACGGGAACAGAAGCAAUUCAAGGCAUAGUCCUAAAGUUGCCUAAAUCAAAAGAGGCAUAUUGGAAUCCUGAAUCUUUUUCAAAGAUGCAUAAUCUUAAACUGCUCAUAAUUAAAAACGUCCAGCUUCUCCAUGAACCCAAACAUCUUCCUAUUGGCUUAAGAUUUCUUGAGUGGAUAGGGUACCCUUCAAAAUCUUUUCCAUUAAAUUUCCAAUCAAAUGAGCUUGUUGAACUUUACAUGUGUGGAAACUACAUUGAACAACUUUGGAAAGGAGCAAAGUCUUUUGAGAAGUUGCAAAUCAUCCAAAUGAAUGGGUCUACAAACCUUAAAGAAACCCCUGAUUUGCUCAGAGUCCCAAAUCUUAAGGAAAUGGUUCUUGAAGAUUGUUUAAAUUUACGUGAGAUUCACCCUUCAACUUUGGUUCAUAAUAGGCUUACUCUUCUCAAUCUACAAGGCUGUGUAAAUGUCAAAACUCUUCCAAGCAAGUUUGAAAUGGAGUCUCUUGAGGUUCUUAUUCUUUCUGGUUGCUCAAAACUAAAAAGGAUUCCAGAAUUUGGAGAAAACAUGCAACGUGUAUUAAAGCUUUAUUUGGGUGGAACUACUGUUACUAAAUUACCCACAUCAAUUGGGCAUUUGACAAGCCUUGUUUUAUUAAAUGUAAGAGAUUGCAAAAGUCUUACAUGUCUACCAAGCAGCAUUUUUAAUUUGAAGUUGCUUAAAGACUUGAACAUUUCAGGAUGCUCAAAACUUGAGAGACUGCCUGAGAAUGUGGGGAAUGUUGAAAGUGUAGAGGAGUUGGAUGUGAGUGGAACUGCAAUAAGAGAGGUGCCUUCUUCCAUUGGUCUCUUAAAAAAUCUUAAAGUGCUAUCUUUCAAUGGAUGUAAGGGGUUAUCAUCAUUUAACUCUACAUCUUGGUAUGAUCUCCCCCCAUUUUCUUCAAGGCCAAAAAUUGCAGAUCCCGUGGGGUUGUCCUCUUUAUCGGGUUUGUGUUCUUUGACUGAAUUGAAACUACAAGAUUGCAAUCUCAGGGCAAUCCCCGAUGAUAUCGGUUGCUUAUUCUCUUUAGAAGAAAUACAUCUAAGUGGGAAUAGUUUUGUUUGCCUUCCUGAUAGUAUCAGUCAGCUACGUAAGUUGGAAAGAAUGUAUUUGAAGAAUUGCACAAGUCUUCGAUCAUUGCCAAAUCUUCCAGUAGAUAUCAUAGAAAUUUGGGGAGAUGGUUGUACCUCACUGGAAACAGUAAUAGAUCUCCAAAAACCUAAUUCUUUUUGUAAGGGAGAGUUUUAUCUUUCAAAUUGUUGUAAACUGGCUGAUAAUCAAGACUUCAUUGACAUUUUUUUGGCAGUGAUAAGAAAGCACCAUCAGGGACUCUCUCGUCACGGUAGAUAUGAUGAUGCAUCAUUCAAUUGGAGAUAUGAUAUGAUUAUUCCUGGAAGUGUAAUACCAAAGUGGUUUAUCCAUCAAAGUAUUGGGGCUAAAGUGAAUAUAAAAAAACCUUCUUCUCAUUUGCGUGAUGGCUGCAUAGGGAUUGCUAUUUGCAUUGUAUUUUCUUCUCUUUUCAUUGCUUUACCAUCUUGUAAGUUCAUAGCAAAUGGAAAAGUAAUGUUUUCUAUAAAAGGCCCUCCUGGCGUACGUGACGAUUUAUUAUCAGAUCAUAUUUGGCUAUUUUAUGUGCUUCCUCAAUACUACAAGGAGGAGGACAUAAAAUUACUAAACGAAUGUGAAGCAAAUGAAUUGAUUCAGAUUGGCAUUAAAAUUGAAAUCAAUGAUUCAAGCUUGAAGGUGAAGAAAUGCGGGUUCCGAAUUGUAUACAAGAAAGACAUAGAAGAUCUCAACCAAACUAUGGCUCAGAAUAGCAACACCUGCAUCAUUCCUUAUGAGGACUUGGAUGUUAAAAGGGCAAAGCAAAUUUGUGACGAUUACCAUGGGGCUGGACCUAAUGGAGAUGGAAGCUCUAAUGAUGUGCCCCAUGGUAACUCUGAUAGUGAAGAGUAUUUCGAAUGCGGUGAGGAGAUCAGUGAUUAGAUGGAAUUGGAGAAUGGGUUCAAAUACUCUUAAUCAGACUCAAGAAGGCAAGCAACUGCGUUUACAGGGUUGAAAGCUGUAGAAGGUAGCCUGCUUAGAUUGGUAUGCACAAGUCUCUAUUGCACAACAAACAGAUCAAGGUGACUGCAGGAAAGUGCCAAGGCAAGUGUGUCUGGUUGUGGAUGUUGUUGACAAUUCAGGAACACUAGUAGAGAUGGUGUGGAUAGGGUGGCUUUGGCUAUGAAGCCAAAUCAUGCGAUGGUAGGCUGUUGCAGUUCUUCCAUAUGCAACCAAAUGGCAUGCAGCUAGAUGCCUGACUGUGCAAAAGGCAUUAAGUGAGGCUAUACAGCUUGAUUUUUGCAGACUUAUUUCAACAAGAUCUAGAGCGGAGGACCUCUUUUAAUGUUCAUUGGCAAAUUGUUGUGCUGAUUGAAGACCACAAGUGCAUGGAAGUUGGAGAACGCUAGUGGUUAUGUUUGUUAUGCAUAAGAGUCACUGUAGAUCUUGGGGUCUCGGCUACUCUUGCUUUCAAGUCUUAUAGAUAUUUUUGGAAUCUACUAAUAGUUAACCAUUCUGACAUUAUUGUAUCCAAAAACAAAACCAGGAAAAAAAAUGUUAAUCUUUAUACCUUUUUCAGACUAAUUUAUGCCUUGGGCAUAUGUCUGUGUGCAGUCAUUAACAUUUUAGGACAUUAUAUAAGAGAUUUGUUUCUUUGCGUAA